rnacentral:rRNA from 1 species
CCUACGGGAGGCAGCAGUGGGGGAUAUUGCACAAUGGGGGAAACCCUGAUGCAGCGACGCCGCGUGGGUGAAGAAGCGCCUCGGCGCGUAAAGCCCUGUCAGCAGGGAAGAAAAUGCCGGUACCUGAAGAAGAAGCCCCGGCUAACUACGUGCCAGCAGCCGCGGUAAUACGGCGGGGGCAAGCGUUAUCCGGAUUUACUGGGUGUAAAGGGGGCGCAGACGGCGAUGCAAGCCAGGAGGGAAAGCCCGGGGCCAAACCCCGGGACUGCUCUUGGAACUGGGUGGCUAGAGUGCAGGAGGGGCAGGCGGAAUUCGUGGUGUAGCGGUGAAAUGCGUAGAUAUCAGGAGGAACCCCGGUGGCGAAGGCGGCCUGCUGGACUGCAACUGACGUUGAGGCCCGAAAGCGUGGGGAGCAAACAGGAUUAGAUACCCGUGUAGUC